UACGAACUGUGCAAACGUUAUUCGGAAUCACUGGGCUUAAAGGGUGCGUAGGCGGCUAUCUAAGCAGGGUGUGAAAGCCCCCGGCUCAACCGGGGAAUUGCGUUCUGAACUGGAUGGCUGGAGUGAGAUAGGGGUGUGUGGAACUUCCAGUGGAGCGGUGAAAUGUGUUGAUAUUGGAAGGAACGCCGGUGGCGAAAGCGACACACUGGGGUCUCAACUGACGCUGAGGCACGAAAGCCGAGGGAGACGACGGGAUACGAUGACCUGGAGUCCC
rnacentral:rRNA from 1 species